rnacentral:rRNA from 1 species
UAACACGGGGGUUGCGAGCGUUGUCCGGAAUUACUAGGCGUAAAGGGCAGGUAGGCGGAUAUAUAAGUUUGAUGUUAAAGGCGACGGCUUACCCGUCGUGCGGCAUUAGAUACUGUAUAUCUGGAAUGCGGUUGGGGAAGACAGAAUUCCUGGUGUAGCGGUGGAAUGCGCAGAGAUCAGGAGGAAUACCGAAGGCGAAGGCAGUCUUCUAAGCCGUAAUUGACGCUAAACUGCGAAGGUGUGGGUAUCAAACAGGAUUAGAUACCCUGGUAGUCCACACAGUAAACGAUAAUCACUAGGUGUCGGGUUCGAAGAGGAUUCGGUGCCGUAGCUAACGCGAUAAGUGAUUCGCCUGGGGAGUACGAUCGCAAGGUUGAAACUCAAAUGAAUUGACGG